GACGAACGCUGGCGGCGUGCUUAACACAUGCAAGUCGAACGGAAAGGCCCUGCUGUUGUGGGGUGCUCGAGUGGCGAACGGGUGAGUAACACGUGAGUAACCUGCCCUUGACUUUGGGAUAACUUCAGGAAACUGGGGCUAAUACCGGAUAGGAGCUCCUGCUGCAUGGUGGGGGUUGGAAAGUUUCGGCGGAUGGGGAUGGACUCGCGGCUUAUCAGCUUGUUGGUGGGGUAGUGGCUUACCAAGGCUUUGACGGGUAGCCGGCCUGAGAGGGUGACCGGCCACAAUGGGACUGCGGUACGGCCCAGACUCCUACGGGAGGCAGCAGUGGAGAAUAUUGCACAAUGGGCGGAAGCCUGAUGCAGCAGCGCCGCGUGCGGGAUGACGGCCUUCGGGUUGUAAACCGCUUUCGCCUGUGACGAAGCGUGAGUGACGGUAAUGAGUAAAGAAGCACCGGCUAACUACGUG
rnacentral:rRNA from 1 species